CUUGCAGUUUGAUCUCAGACUGCUGUGCUAGCAAUCAGCGAGAUUCCGUGGGCGUAGGACCCUCCGAGCCAGGUGUGGGAUAUAGUCUCGUGCUGCGCCGUUUUUUAAGCCGGUCUGAAAAGCGCAAUAUUCGGGUGGGAGUGACCCGAUUUUCCAGGUGGGAAGUGGGAAGAUAAAUCAGAUCCCUGCUACUCCUUAAGCAGAAGUGAAAUUCAUUCAUGGUUAGAAGCCGGUGUAAGAGAGAUGGCUGCUGAAGACACAUAGCCGCACGUGUGAACAUGGCCUCACAGCUUGCCUCUCCAUAAGAGGUUUAUUUGUCUUCUCAUAUUUGUUCAAUGUGGACAAGAACCUUCUGGCCCCUGCUCCUCUUUUGCAUUUGGAAUCCUUUGACUUCUGCUUUCUUGAGGAGUGAGGCUCCUGGGCAAGUUGUCACCCAACUCUGGGCAGUCAUCCCAGGACCUGAGAGUCACUGCAAAUCCUUGCUCAGAACCCCAUGCCCAUGUGUUCAUCCUUGCGUACUUUCCCAGGCCCCAGACCAAAUUAAAACUUGGCAGUUGAAUCACGGUUUUCACAAAAUCAGCCCAACAAACUAUGGCUCCAAGUCCAGCAGGGCUGGGCCACUCAAGGCAGAGUAAAGCUUCAGAGACAGAAAUGGAAAGCUGACCAGGGCUGCCCAGGAGCCGUGACGAAGGAGACUUGUCACUCUGUUGCUGCAAACACAGAAGUGUUUAGAGUGUGUAGGCCACUGUUCCAGGUAAGAGUCUCAUGGAGAACUUGAGAAGGACUGUGUGUGUGCGGCCAAGGUAAGUCUCAGACGGAAGGCAUGUGCUAACAGGGCAGCUAACAGAUCUGCAGAAUGUAAUGUGCCUGACCCUGAGCUGCUGAUCUACCUCACACUCCAAUUCAAUUCAGUCCUUUCAGUUGCUUAAGGAAAUCAGCAGUUAUCUGAUUUCUCAACGAGUCCUGUAGGUUCUACUAUAAAAAUAUAUGGAAGAACCACCUAUUUCUCACCACUGCUAUUUAGACCAUGCUGCUCCACCCACUUCUACCUUCACCUGGGCUCUGGGUUACUGCGGUAACUUCCUCCUCGG
rnacentral:lncRNA from 1 species